ensembl:lncRNA
GUGAGCAAGUGUUUAUAAAUUACCCAUACCAACUUUCUGUUUUACCUUCUUAGUAAAAAGGUCUAACUUUUAUUAAAUUUUAUUCACUGUAGUUUUCCCUGAAAAUAGUAACGAGCAAAGAGGACAGACCACUCAAAGAAGAUGUUUAUUGGCAGGCAUCUUAGCUGAGGGCAACACAGUGACCCGUAACCGUCUUAGCUGUGAACAACCAAACUCCGGUUUUAGCUCCGUUCUGGGUUUUGUGCUGGGCCCUACGGACACAGGGAUCCCUAAGAAGACAGGUCGAAAUGAAGUAAAGAGGCCUAUACAACGAAAUGAGUCUGGAGAGCUUGCUUCUUCCGUCCCCGUCCCCUGGCAUGCCCACGACUCAAGACUCAAUGAUGGGAGAUCCUGUGAAUCUUCGCUGACUUUGCAUGGAGCUGGUUUCCCGGCUGCGUGACCUGUAGAGAGGAGGGCCAGCGCUUAGAAGGAGUAUCCGUGGAAAGACUCUGCUGUCUUAAAAGUCUCAAUAAUUU